AUUGGCUGAUUUCUCCAGCUCGAGUUCAUUCAGAAUCUUCUUUUUACAUUGCCAGCUCUGCACCAAGUUCAUACCACCGGCAAAGACUCUUAUGGCUGGUCGAGAUGGGUCAAGACAUAUUUGAGAAGCUGAGAACUACACGGAACUUUGUGAUACAUUGACACAGUUUGACAUGGUUUAUGACUGGAGAAUACAGGCCUGAAAGAUGAGUUGACGCCACUCAUUUGCUGUGAACUACCGGAGGAGAUUAAAAAGCUUAUAAGAGUUUGUGAAAUAUCAGAAAGAAUGGGUCAGCAUCAGAAUCUAAUUGCAGUCAGAUUUGGACAGGAAUUUGGCCGUGAAAUUCAGAAGAAAUUGUUUCGUUGUCAUUGAAUGUGAUGAUGAAUGGUUGUGAUUGAUGAUUCUUUACAGUCUUGAAUGAAUGUGGGUUAUGCUUGCAAUCAUAUUGCAGGGAAGGAGAUAUCAUGGGUUGGAGAUACACAGCAAAGUCAUUAUCCCGACAUGAACAGCGAUAUGCACAUUUAGUGCUCGACAAAAUGACUGAACCACACAGCUCUUGCCAACCUCAACUGAGCCACUUUAUAGCUCCAAGUCUGGGGGUACCGUAUUUUCCUUGGGUUAGGACAUGGACUCGAAGCCAAUGAAGAAACAGAGGUUGGGUGCGACUUGUUAUGGGGUCUUGAAUGUAGAAAUUAACUUUUAAGCCCAUACUAAUUGGGCUUUAGACACUCUAAUCCUGUCCCUUCAAGUCCAGUAUUAGGAGGUCCAAAUUCACCAAUUAUAGAACGAGUUAGUCCUUCGGUGAACGAUUCAGUCCAAAAGCGAACUUUUUAGAUGGCAAAAAUGGCCCCUCAAAUCGAAACCGUAAAAUUAUUUGUUCAUACAUCAUUUCUUCUCUGUCAUCGACUCAUCGCAGAAUUCUUCUUCAAAAACGAAAGUUUAGGUUUCACUUCGUUUUAGCUUGAUUAUUCAUAUCAAUUUGCGUUGAUCUCCCUCGCAAUCUCUUGUUCUUCUCGGUCUAAUUUUUGUCUAAAGCCCUAGAAACUGAGAGAGAUUGGUACCAGAUCGGUGGUACGGUUUGUGUAUAAAUCAGAUGAAGAAGCAGAUUUAGAACCGUAUAAAUCAGAAGAUUUUGGUUUUCUAAUGGUUAAUGAAGAAAUUGAAGCAAAUACUCGGACCACCAGAGAUAUUGAAUCUGAAAUUGCAAGUGUUCUGGGAUUGAUACUUUUUUGGUGAUGAAGAAUUUGAACGAACGAAGAUACAACUUAGUUUCUUCUUCUGAAGUUAAUAGCUUAAUCCAAGUUUCUGGUAUAAUUUUCUCCGAUAGCUUUUUAUGAUUGAUUUUACUGCUGAUGCUACUAGUUUAUUGUGCUACUGGCAGUGAAUACUAUAAUACUUGUUUCGAUUUCUAAUAAUGAUUUGUAGUUAUCUAGAUUCAUUAGUAUAUAUUGAUAUUUUCAUCCUCUGAAACAAAAAAGGGAAACGGAAGAUGAAUUGAAGCAUAAUUUUGGGAAAUGUGUGUUUAUUUUUGGCUAAAUUUGUUGUUGGUUUUCAUCGAUCUUAUUUUAGUUUGCUUUCAAUGAUAUAUUGGUUUUAAAGAAAACGCUGUUUUGCAAAAAAUAGAUUGGUUUCGUACAUUUAUGCCAGUACCUUUUUCUUCUUGUGCUUUAUUUGUAUGCAGUUGCUCUAAAUUUGUUAUUCUGGUUGUGUGUUAAGGACUUACUGUUGCCAAUUAACAACUAAAUUAAAUGGAAAGCCUACGUAGUCGAGACUUCGAAUAGAGAAGUGUUUCGUUCAUGGAAAACCUCAGCCAAUAGAUGAUAGAGCUACAAUCUAGUCCAAAUUAUUUGUUAUUACUGUAUGAUUUUGUUGGGCAGGAUUCUACUAUAACGAAAAGUUGGAUGAUGUCGAUUUCUAGAUGUUGGACUUAUUGUUUUUGUGGAUAUGGAGACAUGGUCUUAGUCCUUUGAUCAUAUAGGAGGAUGCAUAACGGGGUAGAGCUGAAUUUCUAGUCGCAUGGUACUCCCAAUUUCUAAUCUCCUUGGUGAUGGUUUUGCAUUCCUGAAUGAGUAUCGAAAUGUACUGGUUGAACGUAACUCCUUCACAUCGCCAGUGAAGGAUCGGUUAUUGGUUAAUAGUAAAAUCAAGGUUGCCACCGUCACCAUUUCUGCAGUGUGCUUUUGAAUGUGUCACCAUUCCUGAAUGAGUAUCGAAAUGUACUGGUUGAACGUAACUCCUUUACAUCGCCAGUGAAGGAUCGCUUAUUGGUUAAUAGUCUAAAAUCAAAGUUGCCAACAUAUUUUCACUUUCAAGUCUUCGGUUGUUCGUUAAUUACUGUAAUUCCUUUCUUGUUUGAGAACGAUGAAUCUUUAGAAGUUUCCGGGAAAGAUUCCAUGGAAAUAUUAAACUCGUAAACCUUAGAAGAAGUGAAAAAAUUUUUAGCAGAAGUGAAAAAGUUUAGCAGGACGAAAAAACCCAUACGACGACUAUUUCUAAGAGUUGUGAAAGGGCCAUGAGAAAAGAUUACUACAUCACAACUUCCAUUUCAAUCUCUAACCGCCCAUUUCAACCUUACAUCAAUCUCUAACCGUCCAUUGUUUUUAUUUUUUUCCCUUUUUAUCCUUUUCUUUUCUUUCCUUAACCUCCUCCACCACUUCUUUUCUUUCUCUUAUCUUCUUUUCUUUUCCUUCAAACCGCAGAAAGCUCCUCCUCCUUCAUUUGUUUCCUCCUUCAUCUCCCGAAAAACCAUCAAUCAAACCACCAUCACUCUGAACAUCAUCAGUAGAUCGGGCAAAUAGGAGUUUCCUAAGUUCAUCAUCAACAUAUCGAUUUAUUUUCCAUCAACAAAUCAAGUUUCUCAAGUUCUGUUAAUAUCAUCCGCAAAUCGAGCUUCUUCAUCAACAGAUCGAGCUUUUAAAGCUCUGUUAGUACCUUCUCGAUCUGUUACACGGAUUGGGCUUCAGAAAGUAAAGAGGGGAACAAGUGAAGUACAAUUUUGUCUAAAAAGAAGUCUAACUGAUGGUUCUAGUGACUUAGGUAGAUUAAUUCCAAAUGAUGAAUAAAGAUUGGGUUCGUUGGCCAAGGUGGAAGUUCCAUACCAGGAUGCAGUGAAGAAGUUUGUAGAGUUGACUUGUGAGAAACUUGGAAAUCCUUCUAAAUUUAGUUGUCCUUGUGUGGAUUGUAAGAAUCUUGCUGAGCCACUUCCUCCGAGUACAGUACAUUAUCACUUGCUACAACGAGGCAUGGAUCCUACUUACACCGAGUGGGUUCUUCACGGGGAGAAGGCUAGCACUUUGAAUGAUAUUCAUGAAGAGGGAGAAACAAGUCAACGUACUUUCUAUCAGAUGUGGACAAAUGCUAAUGUUGAUUUUUCCGAACCAGAACAAGGGGUUGCUGAACCUGGGUAGGACGAUGGGUCGCAUAACCAGGACGAAGGAUUGAUGAACUAGAUUGAAGAGGCUGACUUCCCAUUAUACCCUGAUUGUAAAACACACACAAAGCUAUCUAUGACUAUUGAAUUGUAUAGGCACAAGACAGUAAAUGGUUUAUCUCGAAGAGCUUUUGAUGAACUUCUCAAGACAAUUGGUUCUGCGCUGCCCCCAGGUCAUUGUCUUCCUAAAUCAACUUAUGAAGUGAAGAAGUUGUUGAAAGCUUUCCAACUGACUUAUGAGAAAAUACAUGCAUGUGAGAAUGAUUGUUGUUUGUUUAGAAAGGAGUUGAAAGAUGCAGAUGAAUGUCCUAAAUGUCACUAUUCUAGGUGGAAGGAAGACACAUAUAACAUGGAUGACGAUGCUGACAUGAUAGACAAGCCCAAAAAGAAGAUACCGGUGAAGGUUCUUAGAUACUCCCCCUUGUGCAGAGAUCAGAGAGAUUGUAUGAAUCAGCAGAGCUAGCUCAGCAGUUGAUUUGGCACGCGACACAUAAGAGUAAAGAUGGGAAGGAAGAUACAUCAUCCAACGAAUUCUUUGGUUUGGAAGCACAUAGACACAAAGUUCCCUGAGUUUGCUUCAGAAUCGCGUAAUUUGCGUCUUGGGCUUGCUGCUGAUGGAUUUAAUCCGUUUGGCGAUCUUUCCCCAACCCACAGUUGUUGGCCGGUGUUGUGUGGUAUAUAAUCUUCCCCCUCAACUAUGUAUGCAAGGCGAAAAUAUUAUUUUAAGCUUGUUGAUUCCAGGAAAGAAACAACCAGGUAGAGACACCGAUAUAUAGUUGCAACCACUGAUUGAUGAUCUGAUUAAGUUGUGGGAUAACAACGUGGAGGUUUAUGAUUCGUUUAGUAAGACAAUUUUCAAUUUGAAGGCAUUAUUGAUGUGGACGAUAAACGAUUUUCCUGCUUAUGGUAACCUAUCUAGAUGUACGUAUAAAGGGAAGGCAACCUGCCCUCUUUGUGGUGAUAAUACUAUUUCAAACUGGUUGUCGUUUAGUCGUAAAACUGUUUACAUGAAUCAUAGGAAAAUUCCAGCUUAUAAGCAUCAUCCUCGAUCUAGUAAGAAGAAAGCAUGUUUUAAUGGAGACAUUGAGAGGAAGGAAAAGCCACCUAUUAUGUCUGGUGCCAUGGCUUUUGAACGUCAUAGCAGUAUUGUGAAUGAUUUUGGGAAGGCGGAGCAGAACGAGAUGGAGAAAAGGAAAGAAAAAGAGGAAAAUAAGAAGAAUAAGAAGAAUAAGCAGAAAAAGGGACAGAGUAGAGCGACAACAGGUGCAAAUGAAGAUAACUCUAAGUGUGGGAAGCGGAAAAAGGGCAGUAGCUACUGAUGCCGGUACGAGUGCUUCUGCUAGUUCUGGUGCACAGGAUUUUGACCAUCCGAUAUUCAACAAACGGUCGACAUUUUUCGACUUGCCUUACUGGAAGGUAAAUUCUAACCUCAAACUAUCUUAUUUUCGCUCUUAAAUUCCUAUCUGCAUUGUAAAUCUCAGUGCUAGCUAGGUUCCCAACCAUAUAUAUGAUGAUGUUGUUUCCCUGUUAUGAAACGUACGACUCAAUCAAGUGACUUACAUGCUCAUAUUUUUUAUGUUAUAUAUGUUUCUUCCUUCUUAUAUAAGAAUUGUUACUACAAUAUAAUAUUGAUGUUAUGCGUAUGGAAAAAAGCGUCUGUGAGAGUGUCAUUGGUACUAUAUUGAAUAUAAAUACAAAAACUAAAGAUGGAUUAAAUUCUCGUAAUGAUCUGAAAAAUAUGGGAAUCAAAGAAGCAUUGCAUCCAACAGAGAAAAAUGGAAAAACAUGGCUUCCACCAGCACCAUGUAACUUAAGCGAUAAGGGAAAAGCUAUAUUUUAUAAUUGGAUAAAAAAUUUGAAGGUUCCAUAUGGGUAUAGUUCUGAUCUUAGGAGGCAUUUCUCGAAAGAUGGUUGCUUGGGUGUCCUGAAGGCUCAUGAUUACCAUGUUCUUAUGCAACAAAUACUACAUGUAGCUUUGAAGGGACUUUUACCUGAUGGGCCAAGUACUGCGGUCAAUCGGUUAUGUUCUUAUUUUAACGAAAUAUGCUAAAGGACAGUUGAUCUCACUAGAUUAUUAGAACUUCAAGAAGAAAUUGCCGAGAUUUUGUGUAUGUUAGAGAUGUACUUCCCUCCAUCAUUUUUUGAUGUGAUGGUACACUUGACAAUUCACCUAGCUUGAAAAGUGCAUUUAUGUGGACCCGUGCAAUAUCGUUGGAUGUAUCCAUUUGAAAGGUAUAUGAAGACAUUCAAAGAAUACGUAAAAAAUUACGCACAACCUGAAGCAUGUAUAACAGAGUGUUACCUGGGAAUGGAGUGUGUCAGGUAUUGUGAUGUUCAUGCGGACAAAGCAGAUGAAGGAGAAGUAAAUCAGAGCCGUAAUGAAGACAUUCAACAUGAUUCCACACCGGCAGGGCGUCCUCUUUCUAAAGCUGUUCAAGUGUAUAUUGGUAGUGAUAUGAUGAAGAUCGCUUAUAGAUAUGUGCUUUUUAACACAACAGCAAUUGACCCAUAUAGAAUAAUGCACAUGGAUGAUUUAAGAUCCUCCCAUACUGACAGUAAGACCAACUCCUUUCCAUACACUCAGACACAUUUGCAGAUUGGAUACGGCAAAAGGUACGUGCACCACCACUUGGUCAUUUGUUAUAUGUUAUAUGUUUGAUUCAUUUUCCCUGAGUAGUACCUCUUUUUUGCAUAGAGCUUGCACCCAUUAUUGUGCUCAUUGUGUUCUGCUAACUAAAUUAUAUUUAUAAGUUAAAACGCAAAUUAGUCAAGGCAUAUCUGUAUCAAGUACAAUACAGUGGUUGGCAUAUGGUCCUUUAGAAAAAUGUGUAUCAUAUAAAGGCUUGCAAAUAAAUGGAUCAAGGUUUAUUACGAAGGAUGUUCAAAGAGUCACACAAAACAGUGGUGUUUCAAUUGAGUCAAAAUCUUUAGUUGCAGCAUCACAAAUAAGCAGUAGUUUCUAUGGUGUUUUAGAACAAAUUCUCGUGUUGGACUACUAUCAUAUGUUCAAAUUCCCAUAUUCAAAUGUGACUGGGCUCACACCUAUUUUGGUGUCAAUCUAGAAAAAGGCUUUCCAUUAGUCUACUUACGUCAGCAUAAGAAUCAAUAUCAGAAUGAUCCAUUCAUUUUAGCGUCACAAGCCCGGCAAGUUUUCUAUUCUCGAGAGUCAGAUGCAUCUAAUUGGUUUGUGAUGUUGAAACCACCACCUAGGGGUUUCCAUGAAUUAGAUGAAUACAAUGAACAUGAAGACACAAGUUGCCAACCAGUGGAUCCUUCAACUCUUGGAUUACAAAUGGAUGACGAGACUGAGAGUUAUGCAAGAACCGAUGUUGAACCUAUCUUAGUGGUUUGGACAAAGAAGAAGAACAAGAAGAAUAAGAAAAAGAAAAAGAAGUGCCACUGAUGGUGGGUUUACUCUUUUCAUUUCCACUGAUGCGCUGAACCUAUUUUGUUUCUUUCAUUUUGCUUCAGAUUGUAUUUUUGCUUUUAAAAUGACAUGCUAUUUGUUUCUCUUUAAUUAUGACUUGCAAUAUUGUUGGUAUGAUAUGCUAUCUGUUUCUCUUGAGAUGAACCCCCCUUUUUAACUCCGCCAUUGAAAUGAUAUAUCAUUUCAUUGCCGGUCUCAAUCCCGGAUAAAUGAGGAGAGAAAAGGUGAUUUAUUGAGUUCUAGAUGUAGAUUUUCUGAAGUAAUGUGCAGAAAUUAUUUACUUGAAUCAUGCACUGGUAACAAUUUCUUGCUUUUUUUGCUCUAGUUCUGCAGUUGGAUUUUUUUUUUGCAGUUGGUUUUUUUUGCUCUAGUUCUGCAGUUGGCUUUUUUUUGCUCUAGUUCUGCAGUUGGCUUUUGUUUUGCAGUCAAUUUCUUUUUUUUUUGCAGUCAAUAUACUUCAAUACUUUGAGAAUUUGCAGCUUCUUCAGGACUGGUGUUUGAUUCACCAAAACUUGCAUGAAUCUGGUACUAUGAGUGUUGAUUGAAAUGUGAUUGCAGGCCUUGUAUAAUUCAGAGAAUGCCUUGUAUGUUUCAGGCAAAGUGAUGCAUUUGCUGCUCUCUUUUUUGUAAGGCCCAGUUGAAUUUUUUUUACCAUAUAGAAGUAAAUGUAAAAUAUAAUCACACAUGUAAAUGUGGAAGAAUGGUUUGAGGAGGCUC